ACCUGACCUGACCUUCAAUGUGGAAGAGAAGGCUGGCUGGGGGAAGACUGCUGCCUGUGAAAGCCUCCCUGGGAAGGCAUUCAGAGCCAUGGCCACUAGAAGCAAACUGCAGUCCGCACUCCUGUUGCAGCUAACAGGUGCUGCUGUGCAGCAUGGACACCUUUGACAGUUACGUUGAUUCUAACCACUAGUUCCACAAUAGAUGUCGUAUCGAGUUCGCUGCAGUCAGAGGAAACCGGUAUCAGCGCACAGGCAGAUAAAUAGAUGGGCACAUUGAGUUCAACGCAUUUCCCACCGGACUGGAGGGAGGAUAACUUUUGUCAGGCUG